rnacentral:lncRNA from 1 species
ACCUUAGGCGCUUUCCUUCCAAGCAUACACUAGCCUAAAUUCGCAGCUACCGCAUCUCUCGUUCUAGAGUCCGUUUUGACAAUCCAACUGAGAACCAUAUGCCACGAUUGAUUUAGGGGAUAAUAAGGCCAAGAACAUAGCUUGAUUAUUACUUGAAUACUAGAGGAGAGUACAAGUAAUAGCAAGGGUGUAAGACUUUGUUUGUGGAGGCUAGGUUGGUUUUAUGAUGUUGUCAGACGUGUACCGAGUUGUGAAAGGAAGGGUAGUCCUAUAUAUUGAGGUGUAGAAUGAACUGAUUUUUCAUCGGACCAAAAGAAGUAAUAAAGAAGAAUUCUUUGCAUAUAAUUAAUCAUUAAUUGAGGUAAUGACAGCAAUCAAGCUGUUAAUUACUCAUUCACCGAGAAUGGAAUGGAAUCAAUACAAAUUUAUGGCCAUAGAAGGAAAAUGGUUAUGGACAUUCAUUGGCUAUUAUGGGUAUUUAAUGAGAUUGAAAGGAAGAUGAUGUGAU